GAUGAACGCUGGCGGCGUGCUUAACACAUGCAAGUCGAACGGAAAGGCCCAAGCUUGCUUGGGUACUCGAGUGGCGAACGGGUGAGUAACACGUGGGUGAUCUGCCCUGCACUUCGGGAUAAGCCUGGGAAACUGGGUCUAAUACUGGAUAGGACCACUUCUUGGAUGGUGUGGUGGAAAGUUUUUUCGGUGUGGGAUGAGCUCGCGGCCUAUCAGCUUGUUGGUGGGGUAAUGGCCUACCAAGGCGUCGACGGGUAGCCGGCCUGAGAGGGUGUACGGCCACAUUGGGACUGAGGUACGGCCCAGACUCCUACGGGAGGCAGCAGUGGGGAAUAUUGCACAAUGGGCGCAAGCCUGAUGCAGCGACGCCGCGUGGGGGAUGACGGCCUUCGGGUUGUAAACUCCUUUCGCUAGGGACGAAGCGUUUUUGUGACGGUACCUGGAGAAGAAGCACCGGCUAACUACGUG
rnacentral:rRNA from 1 species